rnacentral:rRNA from 2 species
ACGGAUAUCUCGGCUCUCGCAUCGAUGAAGAACGUAGCGAAAUGCGAUACCUGGUGUGAAUUGCAGAAUCCCGCGAACCAUCGAGUCUUUGAACGCAAGUUGCGCCCGAGGCCUCUUGGCCGAGGGCACGCCUGCCUGGGCGUCACGCCAAACACGCUCCCACCCAACUAACUUGGGGUGGGACGCGGCAUGUGGCUCCUCGUCCCGCAAGGGGCGGUGGGCCAAAGAUCCGGCUGCCGGCCUAUCGUGCCGGACACAGCGCGUGGU